rnacentral:ncRNA from 2 species
CGACGUCUUCAGGGCGGGGCGAAAUUCCCCACCGGCGGUAGGCCUUUCGAGGCGAGCCCGCGAGCGCCUUCGCCGCAACGCGAAGGGUCAGCAGAUCCGGUCGAAUGCCGGAGCCGACGGUUGGUAGCGGGUGACCGCUGCCUCAUAGUCCGGAUAAAGAGAAGACGGUU